GACGAGGGGGGCGAGCGUUGUUCGGAAUUAUUGGGCGUAAAGGGCGCGUAGGCUGUGCGGUAAGUCACCUGUGAAACCUCUGGGCUUAACUCAGAGCCUGCAGGCGAAACUGCCGUGCUGGAGUGUGGGAGAGGUGCGUGGAAUUCCCGGUGUAGCGGUGAAAUGCGCAGAUAUCAGGAGGAACACCAAUUGCGAAGGCAGCUCGCUGGGACGUUACUGACGCUGAGACGCGAAAGCGUGGGGAGCAAACAGG
rnacentral:rRNA from 1 species